AUUGAACGCUGGCGGCAGGCCUAACACAUGCAAGUCGAGCGGAUGAACGGAGCUUUCUCCUGGAUUCAGCGGCGGACGGGUGAGUAAUUCCUAGGAAUCUGCCUGGUAGUGGGGGAUAACGUCCGUAAACGGGCGCUAAUACCGCAUACGUCCUGAGGGAGAAAGUGGGGGAUCUUCGGACCUCACGCUAUCAGAUGAGCCUAGGUCGGAUUAGCUAGUUGGUGGGGUAAAGGCCUACCAAGGCGACGAUCCGUAACUGGUCUGAGAGGAUGAUCAGUCACACUGGAACUGAGACACGGUCCAGACUCCUACGGGAGGCAGCAGUGGGGAAUAUUGGACAAUGGGCGAAAGCCUGAUCCAGCAAUGCCGCGUGUGUGAAGAAGGUCUUCGGAUUGUAAAGCACUUUAAGUUGGGAGGAAGGGCAGUAAGUUAAUACCUUGCUGUUUUGACGUUACCAACAGAAUAAGCACCGGCUAACUUCGUG
rnacentral:rRNA from 1 species